rnacentral:tRNA from 1 species
UCCCUAGCGGCUAAGAGGUUAAAGCGUCUGCCUCCAAUGCAGGAGACCCAGGUUUGAUCCCUGGGUCGGGAA